rnacentral:lncRNA from 1 species
CAGACUAUCCUUUUAAACCACCCAAGGUACUUGCUAGCUUUCUAUAAAUUUCACAUCAAAUUGGUCUUCUGUUGCAUGGAAGUUCCUUUUUUUAUUGCUUUCAUGUGAGAGAGAGAGAGAGAGAGAGAGAGAGAGAGAGAGAGAGAGAGAGAGAGAAUCUGGCGCAUAUUGUCUUGUGGCCUAUCACACCUAUGUUUGAUGUCAAAUGUAUUUUCAGACUCCCAAGGGAGUUGAUAACAUUGUGAUAGUAGAAAUUGACAAUUAUAACUUAUUUAGCAAUGAAGUAAGAUGGUGUUCCUGAAGUUUAAAAAAUCCCAAAUUUUAACAAAUGACUAGGAAAUACUGAACUUUUGCGCAUUGUUUGUUUUCAAGAUCAUUUCCAUGUAAAAUUGGCACGACAAACUGAAGAUUUUGUUGUCCAACUUUUCAUUCGUUCAUUACUUUUUGCUACUUAUAUGAUCU